CGCGUGCGCGUCUCUGAAACGGGGACUUGGGAGCGCGCGCUGCCCCUCACUUGGCUGCAACUGGACCCAGAACUAGGGAAGAGGCCAGGGACAGAUUUUUUUUUUUUAUUUUUAUUUUUUUUGCCGAGGGACGUUUCAAAAUUUUGCACGGCCAGGGUGACAAAAAGAGGAUUUAAGAGCCACAAGCGGUCCGCACAUGACCCAGACUUCGUUCCUGUGCGGCUUCCAGAGGUGUUCAUGCAGAAGACUGGAUGCAGGACCCUUGGUGGCACCAGUGUGCAGAUGAGCAGAUAGUGACUGAUUGCCACUGGGAUGAAAUUUUUAAAAAAGAACCUUGAAGUCUGUGAGUGACCAAUCAAAGAUGAAAAUUAAUAAUGGAAGACCUGGGAUAUACAAUCAAGUCUAAAGCCUAGAUAUCUGGUUAUUUUAGAAAAGCUUCAUAGGCAAGUGUCAGUGGAGCUGUGUUAUUUGAGCUGAGCUGCACCUUGAAGAACCAAAAAAAUUAUAAAUGGACAAAUAAGACCAAGUGCCUACACCAAAAGAAUUCUAAUGCUUAGAAGAGUUGCAGAAUAAAAUAUGUUGCAUGGGAUGUCAAUAGUAAAGGUCAAGAUAGAGGACAAAGAAACACAGAGGAAGGAGGUUAAUGGAAUGAGAGAAGAAAGUAUUUUUAGAGGAAGUUGAUAUUUCACCUGAGUUGUAAAAGGUCUUCUGUGAGUACACCGACAAUUUCAAACACUAUACUAGGAACUGAAUUUGGAUAAAUCAUAACCUGCCCCAGGGGCUCACUUCUAGGAGAGGGGACAGAUAAACUAGACCAAGCAGUAAAAACUGAAUUUUAAUUAUCUACUGGAAAUUCCUCCAGAAUAAAGGGUCUGGUUCAGUUUCUAUAUUGACUCUAUGGGUUCCAGUCUGUGAAAUGCCAAGGGUUGGACUGACUAGAAGUCUCCAGAUUACCUCUCUCUUCUUUCCACCCCUACUGCUUCUUGCCUACCAUAUGCCAUAGUGCCGGCCGGCAAAAUGUACCUGUUUAAUUCUCUAGGCUAUAACAAAAUAUAAUAAACUGGGUACCUUAGAAGCAACGGAAAUUGAUUUCUCAUCGUUCUAGAAGCUAGGAAGUUCACGAUCAAGGUAGCAGCAGAGUUGGUGCCUGCUCUGGAGGCUGGAAAUCCAACAACAGAGUGCCAGCAUGAUCAGGUUCUGGAGAGGACCCUCUUCCUGUUUGCAGACUGCUGACUUCUUAUUGUAUAUUCCAAUGGUAGAAAGAGAGCAAGAGAACUCUCUGGAGUCUUUUUUUUAUAAGGGUGCUAACCCCAUUUAAGGAGGUUUCCCCUCAUAAUCUAAUUAUCUCUCAAAAGCCAUACCUUUCAACACCAUUGCAUUGAAGGUUAGGAUUUCAACAUGUGAAUUUGUAGUGGGGUGACGGGGAGAGGGACACACAAAUAUUUAGUCCAUAAUGCAUACUAACAAAAACUGGGGUAAAAGGUCACUGAAGUGAAUCCUUGCAGUAUUAAAGGACACGUUAUACUUCAUUUAUCCUUUUGGUCCAUAAAUAUUGAGCACACACUAUGAGCUAAAUUCUAGGUGCAUGUUAGAGCAUUGGUGGUACCACAAUAAAAUAGCCUUUUUCCCUAUCCUCAGGGAUUUUACAAUUUUGUGAAAGAGUUAUGCAGAUAGGCAGUUAACCUGCAGGUGGUGAUUGCUCACAAAGAGAAAAGCAGGGGGCUGUAAAAUUAGAGAAGCUAAGCUCACUUACCCUGUAUGGAGUUGGAUACAGAAUGUUUGCUAGAGGAAGUGGUGCCAAGUAGAUUUAGAUAAAGAAGAAGGUGGUGAUGAGAGGACGGAAGUGAUCGAAGGAAUGAAAGGUAGUAGAAAGGAAAUAGCACGCGAGAAGCUGUAGGAGAAAGGAGAAAGCGCACUUCCUGGCAAAAGGGAUAGCACACACAUAGGUUAGAGGUAAAAGGGCACAGCAAGGCUGCAGAGGCCUUGGGAGCUCAGCAUGAUUCGAAUGCAGUUGUACAGGAGGACUGGCACACACUCUGCUUCUUGGAGGUUACAGCAACUGCUACUCUCUGAGGGUUGUGUUACUUAUCUAUCUACUCAUCUAACAACAUGUCAUAACACACUGAGGGAAUUCCUCCAGACCUUUGAACAAAAAUGUUCUAACUUGAUUCAAAAUAAUUUAUACUCAACAUUCUUAGUAUCUUGCUUCAAAAAUAAAUGGACGAAGAAUAGUAUUCUGGCUACAGUUCCGUGUAACAAAUUGCCCAACUGUAGUGGCUUAAAAUGACAAUUAUUUUAUUAUGUUCACAUAAGUGUAGGUCAGGGGCUCAUAAAGGGCUAAGGGAGGAAGCUUUGCACACAUCUAUGGUGUGAGGCUACCUCCUAGACAAGACAAGUAAUGGACCACUUGGCUUGUUUAGUGACUGUGUGGUAAACAGGGGCAUGUGAGAGUUUGCUUAAAGGCAGACUUCCUCCUCUGGUCAGUUUGGUCCAGCCCAUUCAAUUGUGCCUUGCCUGGCCUUCCAGUUUCUGAAUUCCUACUUAACAUCUGAGAUGGCUUGACCCUCAUUCUGCACGAGAGUUUAUAAAUGAACUUUUGUGACUGCACCAGACUUCUAAUGUCACAAUGGCUCCGCCUGCAUACCCUUCUACUCUAUGUGGUUUCAUUCUUCUUCCCUUCCUGCUCAGAAUUAAGUCUGAAUUGAAGCUCCAAUAGUCUCAUAGAUAUUCUCAUAGAUAUAGAUAUUCUCAUAGGUAUUCUUAUAUAUCUUGGUUCAUUCCUGAGGGUUCUUGAACCUCUCAGUUAUUUUUUCUUCUUUCACCCCUGCAUAAUUUGAGAAAGCUUAUCAAAGCUGGGAAUAGGAACCAUGUCUCACUGGUUUCUUUUAAAAUUUCUAUUUAAAAAUAUUUACUUAUUUUUUUGAACAGGUAAUAUAUUCACAUAGAUAAAAAUCCUAAGAUGAAAAUAUAAAUAAAUAGGUUCCCUUCCUCCAUACCAUGUGCAUCAUAAAUCCCCCCAAUUUGUCUAGUACAGGUUCUCAAAACAUUUACUGAAUUUUUAUAGUCAAGUUCCUCAAUACGUACACCUAGUACAUUGGUUGGAUUUACUAUAAAGCUGAUGAAUCUUAAGCCUCAGGGCUCAUCACCUUCUGGGGCUCCUUCCAGGUCCUCUUCCAGAAUCAUCAUCAACUUGCUUCUAUGCCUUUGUAAAAUAUACAAUUGUAAUACAUUUAAACCACAUCAUUUCCGUCUGUUGCCCCUUUCCACUGCAACCCCUUGGCAUACUCUGCCUCCUAUAAAGGGGCAUUAGAGUAGCCUGUGGCAACUUUAGGAUAUAGAAAAGGGGAAAUUGAAAUGGGAGUACAUUUUAUUUGGGUUUAGUGAGAGUUUAUGUGCUUUGCAGUCUUUUUGUAAAUAGCUAAGUAAUUGUUAAGUAUGGCAAUGUCAGUUCUAUUCCUAACUGCUCGCCAUGAAGUUUACUUAGUAUCAUAAUGUGAACCUGCAGGGCCAGAGUUAUUCUGCUAUAUAUAAAAGUGCCCUAUAGCAUCUACAAUUGGGAGUACGUAAUGGAAAAGAAGAUAGUAGCUAUUAAUACGAAUAUUGUUAUUUUUCUGAAUUUUGUGAUGUUUGUGGUAUCCAUCAGCACUUUUAUAUUUGUAAAUUUUUCCCAUUUCUUUUCUUCAUUUUCUAAACACUUUUCAUACAAUUUAUUUGUUACUUUGCAUUCCUUUUUUCUUAGUGCGGUGUCCAAAAUUGUAAGAAUCCUUUAUCCCACAAAAAAUUGAUCCUGUCUUUUACAGAAUUGCCCAGCAGAUGUCUUUUUCAUUUCCUUUGCUUGUGGUUUGCCCAUCUGUCAGCUGUGAAUGACCCAAACAACGUGACACGCUAUUUCUAACUCAACAGUCCUGGAACUUUCUUGACCUUUGACAAAGCCAUCAGAUCACCAUCACCAUCAUUAUUGUUUAUAGAAACAUGAAAAUUCAACCAUAAAAAGUCAUCUUGGGCUGAGCAUGGUGGCUCUAACAUGUAAUCCCAGCACUUUGGGAGCCUAAGGUAUGCUCACUCUUUCACUAACCUUGAGAGACAUUGUCAGAUGUGCAUAAGGGAAGAACAUGAAGGACGACGGAUAAACUGUACACAGACACAGCACAUGGAGUCUGAGUCAUUUGUUUUCUCUGACAGAUCUUUACCAUGCUGGAUUGGAAGAGAAAAGACCAUCACUAAAGCAAAUGGAUCAAAUGGAGUUAUAAAUCAACUCUGUACUCUACAGGAUUGACUCAACUGCAGACAUCUCCAAUACACUCCCUCAUGGCUUUAUUUUUUCUGCUUAUGUGGAAAAAUAACAGUAAAUACAGUUAACUAUCCCAAGACAGAAGAGUAUUAUUAAAAAAGAAUACAACGUUAUUGAUUUUUCAAGACAUAAUCAGAUAUUUUUAAACUCUGAUUUAAUAAAACAUAAUGUAAUUUCUUUUGUGGGAUUUUUUAUGCUUUCCCAAUGUUUAUUACCCUGUGUGUUUCACACUUCAAAAUGAGAGUAUCGUAAUAAGAUCACUUGAGAGGAUCCUGAUCUAAGUUACAAAAUCCCCAUGGCCUUUAUAUCCACAUUGUCACAUUCCCCCAGUCAUCUCUUUCUACUUUAUUGUAUCUAUUACACUUUACACUUAUUUAUGUUUUUCUAUUUACUUUAUAUAUACAAUAUCAUGGGGUACAUAGUGUAAGAGGAAGGAUGGCACUAGCAAGUAUUCCUAAGUUGGUUUAGGGAAUGGGAAUAAGGGUA
rnacentral:lncRNA from 1 species